rnacentral:rRNA from 1 species
AAAUGAAUAGACGGGGGCCCGCACAAGCAGUGGAGUAUGUGGUUUAAUUCGAAGCAACGCGAAGAACCUUACCAGGUCUUGACAUCCUAGGAAUCCUUAAGAGAUUAGGGAGUGCCUUCGGGAACCUAGAGACAGGUGGUGCAUGGUUGUCGUCAGCUCGUGUCGUGAGAUGUUGGGUUAAGUCCCGCAACGAGCGCAACCCUUAUCAUUAGUUGCUACGCAAGAGCACUCUAAUGAGACUGCCGUUGACAAAACGGAGGAAGGUGGGGAUGACGUCAAAUCAUCAUGCCCCUUAUGACCUGGGCUACACACGUACUACAAUGGCAAUUAACAGAGGGAAGCAAAACAGUGAUGUAGAGCAAAACCCUAAAAAUUGUCUCAGUUCAGACUGUAGGCUGCAACUCGCCUACACGAAGUCGGAAUUGCUAGUAAUCGCAGAUCAGCAUGCUGCGGUGAAUACGUUCCCGGGCCUUGUACACACCGCCCGU